GAUGAACGCUGGCGGCGUGCCUAAUACAUGCAAGUCGAGCGAACAGACGAGGAGCUUGCUCCUUUGACGUUAGCGGCGGACGGGUGAGUAACACGUGGAUAACCUACCUAUAAGACUGGGAUAACUUCGGGAAACCGGAGCUAAUACCGGAUAACAUGUUGAACCGCAUGGUUCAACAGUGAAAGACGGUCUUGCUGUCACUUAUAGAUGGAUCCGCGCCGCAUUAGCUAGUUGGUAAGGUAACGGCUUACCAAGGCAACGAUGCGUAGCCGACCUGAGAGGGUGAUCGGCCACACUGGAACUGAGACACGGUCCAGACUCCUACGGGAGGCAGCAGUAGGGAAUCUUCCGCAAUGGGCGCAAGCCUGACGGAGCAACGCCGCGUGAGUGAAGAAGGUCUUCGGAUCGUAAAACUCUGUUAUUAGGGAAGAACAAAUGUGUAAGUAACUAUGCACGUCUUGACGGUACCUAAUCAGAAAGCCACGGCUAACUACGUG
rnacentral:rRNA from 1 species